rnacentral:rRNA from 2 species
ACCAGCCCUUGACAUCCCGAUCAGGAUUAUCAGAGAUGAUGAUUGUCGGUUCGGCCGGAUCGGUGACAGGUGCUGCAUGGCUGUCGUCAGCUCGUGUCGUGAGAUGUUGGGUUAAGUCCCGCAACGAGCGCAACCCUCGCCCUUAGUUGCCAUCAUUAAGUUGGGCACUCUAAGGGGACUGCCGGUGAUAAGCCGAGAGGAAGGUGGGGAUGACGUCAAGUCCUCAUGGCCCUUACGGGCUGGGCUACACACGUGCUACAAUGGUGGUGACAGUGGGCAGCGAGACCGCGAGGUCGAGCUAAUCUCCAAAAGCCAUCUCAGUUCGGAUUGCACUCUGCAACUCGAGUGCAUGAAGUUGGAAUCGCUAGUAAUCGUGGAUCAGCAUGCCACGGUGAAUACGUUCCCGGGCCUUGUACACACCGCCCGUCACACC